UACGAAGGGGGCUAGCGUUGCUCGGAAUCACUGGGCGUAAAGGGCGCGUAGGCGGCUUAUCAAGUCGGGGGUGAAAGCCCGUGGCUCAACCACGGAAUGGCCUUCGAUACUGGUAGGCUUGAGACCGGAAGAGGACAGCGGAACUGCGAGUGUAGAGGUGAAAUUCGUAGAUAUUCGCAAGAGCACCAGUGGCGAAGGCGGCUGUCUGGUCCGGUUCUGACGCUGAGGCGCGAAAGCGUGGGGAGCAAACAGG
rnacentral:rRNA from 1 species